rnacentral:rRNA from 1 species
GACGAACGCUGGCGGCGUGCUUAACACAUGCAAGUCGAACGGAAAGGCCCUGCUUGCAGGGUACUCGAGUGGCGAACGGGUGAGUAACACGUGGGUGAUCUGCCCUGCACUUCGGGAUAAGCCUGGGAAACUGGGUCUAAUACCGGAUAGGAGCCAUUUUUAGUGUGAUGGUUGGAAAGUUUUUUCGGUGUAGGAUGAGCUCGCGGCCUAUCAGCUUGUUGGUGGGGUAAUGGCCUACCAAGGCGGCGACGGGUAGCCGGCCUGAGAGGGUGGACGGCCACAUUGGGACUGAGAUACGGCCCAGACUCCUACGGGAGGCAGCAGUGGGGAAUAUUGCACAAUGCGCGCAAGCCUGAUGCAGCGACGCCGCGUGGGGGAUGACGGCCUUCGGGUUGUAAACUCCUUUCGCUAGGGACGAAGCUUUUUGUGACGGUACCUAGAGAAGAAGCACCGGCUAACUACGUG